rnacentral:lncRNA from 1 species
UUUUAUAAGAGAGGGCCUGGAGAGCUCCUUCUCCUCUCCCACCAUGUGAGGAGGACACAGAGAGAAGGCACUGACUGUGAACCAGGAAGGGGGCCCUCACCAGACACCAGAUCUGCUGCUGACUUGAUCUUGGACGUUCCAGCCUCCAGAACUAUAAUGUUCUGAUUUCCAGAGAGCUGACAGCUGGGAUGAACGGCCGCUUAACCUGAUUAGAUAUGCCUCAGCCACAGACUCUGGGGCCACAGACAACUGCUCAUUUGAGAUGCAUGCCACUGGCACCCGUCUGAAAGAAUAAAGGCCAGCCUCAAACAGACAACACAUUCUUGGAUGGAAACCUUAUGGUUUCUACACAGCAAAAAAGGUUUAUAACUCCCUGGGGUUCCUUUUCACUGAAUAUUCUUUGUUGAAGAGUGUUUAGAACAAACUUGUAACUUUAGCACUUUGCUGUAAUUGCACCUUGUCAUUUAUGACCCAGUGGUAUGUGGUGGAACCCCAGGGGGGAAAAGGGGGGACCAAAGGGCUACUGAUUUCCUGCAUUGAAUCUAUUCUGUCUUCCCUGACACCCUGGGCAGUAGCUCCUGACCUUUCUCCUCAGGACCCAAAUGUAGUCAGCAGGCCCUGAUCCUCCUUGCUCCUCCCUGCUCCUCCCUGCUCCUCCCUGCUGGGUGUCAGGACUGCAGAGCGUCUCUUUUCCCACCAGCUCAUUUGCUGCCCAGAGGAUGCUUCCUUGUUGAUGCGCCAAGCCCCCUGCUCUGCCAUGGUUUUUAGCUGUGGUUCUUAGUACCAUGAGGCCUCCCGUACAUCUCCAGGAGUCUUGUCAGCACCCUGUAGGAGGAUGGUGGAAGGGCCAGAGGGGCUUCUUCCAAACACCCCCGCCCCUCACCACCCAUCAUCUGAAAUGCCAGCAAUCCUCAGCCUCAGUGAGCCUCCAGUUAUAUCACUAACCUUGAGGUACUUUUAAAUGUAAAGCACAAACUAUUAUGGUGUGAGCACAUACUAUUGAGAACAACACCUUUAGAGUUCUCUCCUAGAAGGGGAGAGGAGCACAUUGCUCCCAAAGGAGCAGCAGGGAAUCCAUUCCUUCACAACCCACACAUUGGAACCAAGUGCUGAGCCAUCAGUCGUCCUUAUACAUUUCCCCCCCUUGUUUUUUCAAAAACUGGAACCUACUCAAAUACUAACUAUAAACUACAAAUCUUAAAUCCUCCUGUUCAUUUUUCUCCAAAUGGUAAGACUUCCGCAAAAGUCUUCCAAUAGGUCUCUCCCUGCUGCCCCUCUCACCUUAGUGGUGAAGAGCAUGGAGGGAGUAUCUAACUAGGAUGCAUGGAGUGUGGAAGUGACUAACUAGGAUGCAUGGAGUAUGGGAGUGUCUAACUAGGAUGCAUGGAGUAUGGGAGUAUCUAACUAGGAUGUGUGGAGUAGGAUGCAUGGAGUAUGGGAGUAUCUAACUAGGAUGUGUGGAGUAGGAUGCGUGGAGUAUGGGAGUGCCUAACUAGGAUGCAUGGAGUAUGGGAGUAUCUAACUAGGAAGCGUGGAGUAUGGAAGUGACUAGGAUGCAUGGAGUAUGGAAGUGGAAGUGACUAGGAUGCAUGGAGUAUGGGAGUGUCUAACUAGGAUGCAUGGAGUAUGGGAGUGUCUAAUUAGGAUGCAUGGAGUAUGGGAGUGUCUAACUAGGAUGCGUGGAGUAUGGGAGUGCCUAACUAGGAUGCAUAGAGUAUGGAAGUGACUAACUGGGAUGCAUGGAGUAUGGGAAUGUCUAACUACGAUGAAUGGAGUAUGGGAGUAUCUAACUAGGAUGUAUGGAGUAUGGGAGUAUCUAACUAGGAUGCAUGGAGUAUGGGAAUGUCUAACUACGAUGAAUGGAGUAUGGGAGUAUCUAACUAGGAUGUAUGGAGUAUGGGAGUAUCUAACUAGGAUGCAUGGAGUAUGGGAAUGUCUAACUACGAUGUAUGGAGUAUGGCAGUAUCUAACUAGGAUGCAUGGAGUAUGGGAGUAUCUAACUAAGAUGCAUGGAGUAUGGGAGUAUCUAACUAGGAUGCAUGGAGUAUGGGAGUAUCUAACUAGGAUGCAUGGAGUAUGGGAGUAUCUAACUGGGAUGUGUGGAGUAUGGAAGUGACUAAGUAGGAUGCAUGGAGUAUGGGAAUGUCUAACUAGGAUGCAUGGAGUAUGGGAGUAUCUAACUAGGAUGCAUGGAGUAUGGGAGUAUCUAACUAGGAUGCAUGGAGUAUGGGAGUGUCUAACUAGGAUGCAUGGAGUAUGGGAGUAUUUAACUAGGAUGCAUGGAGUAUGGAAGUGACUACCUAGGAUGCAUGGAGUAUGGCAGUGUCUAACUAGGAUGUGUGGAGUAUGGAAGUGACUAACUAGGAUACAUGAAGUAUGGGAGUGUCUAACUAGGAUGCAUGGGGUUUGGGAGUAUCUAAUUUGGAUGUAUGGAGUAUAGAAGUAUCUAACUUGGGUUCAAAUCCCAGCUUAGUUUGAAUUUCCUCAUCAGUUAAAUAGGAAUAAUAGUUAA